rnacentral:tRNA from 1 species
GGGGUUGUGGCUCAGUGGUAGAGUGCUUGCCUGGCAUGCAUGAGGCACUGGAUUCAAACCUCAGCACCACA